rnacentral:rRNA from 1 species
UACGGGGGGGGCAAGCGUUGUUCGGAAUUACUGGGCGUAAAGGGCUCGUAGGCGGCCAACUAAGUCAGACGUGAAAUCCCUCGGCUUAACCGGGGAACUGCGUCUGAUACUGGAUGGCUUGAGGUUGGGAGAGGGAUGCGGAAUUCCAGGUGUAGCGGUGAAAUGCGUAGAUAUCUGGAGGAACACCGGUGGCGAAGGCGGCAUCCUGGACCAAUUCUGACGCUGAGGAGCGAAAAGCCAGGGGGAGCCAA